GUCCAGGCUAGCCUAGUGGACACAUGGCAUCUGCCCGGUGAGUGGAACACUGUGGGUUCGAUUCCCAUACCUAGACA